UACGUAGGGCGCAAGCGUUGUCCGGAAUUAUUGGGCGUAAAGAGCUCGUAGGCGGCUUGUCACGUCUGCUGUGAAAUCCCGGGGCUCAACCCCGGGCUUGCAGUGGAUACGGGCUGGCUGGAGGCAGGCAGGGGAGAACGGAAUUCCCGGUGUAGCGGUGAAAUGCGCAGAUAUCGGGAGGAACACCGGUGGCGAAGGCGGUUCUCUGGGCCUGUACUGACGCUGAGGAGCGAAAGCGUGGGGAGCGAACAGG
rnacentral:rRNA from 1 species